UACGUAGGUGUCAAGCGUUGUCCGGAUUUAUUGGGCGUAAAGCGCCCGCAGGCGGCUUGCCAAGUUCGAUGUGAAAUCUCCCGGCUCAACUGGGAGGGUGCAUCGAAAACUGGCAGGCUUGAGGCAGGGAGAGGGAUGUGGAAUUCCAGGUGUAGCGGUGAAAUGCGCAGAUAUCAGGAGGAACACCGAUUGCGAAGGCAGCUCGCUGGGACGUUACUGACGCUGAGACGCGAAAGCGUGGGGAGCAAACAGG
rnacentral:rRNA from 1 species